CCUACGGGAGGCAGCAGUGAGGAAUAUUGGUCAAUGGACGAGAGUCUGAACCAGCCAAGUAGCGUGAAGGAUGACUGCCCUAUGGGUUGUAAACUUCUUUUAUAUGGGAAUAAAAUGUUCCACGUGUGGGAUUUUGUAUGUACCAUAUGAAUAAGGAUCGGCUAACUCCGUGCCAGCAGCCGCGGUAAUACGGAGGAUCCGAGCGUUAUCCGGAUUUAUUGGGUUUAAAGGGAGCGUAGGGGGAUUUGUAAGUCAGUUGUGAAAGUUUGCGGCUCAACCGUAAAAUUGCAGUUGAUACUAGCAGUCUUGAGUAAAGUAGAGGUAGGCGGAAUUCGUGGUGUAGCGGUGAAAUGCUUAGAUAUCACGAAGAACUCCGAUUGCGAAGGCAGUUCACUGGACUGCUACUGACACUGAGGCUCGAAAGUGUGGGUAUCAAACAGGAUUAGAUACCCCAGUAGUC
rnacentral:rRNA from 1 species